UUUCCUUUGAAUUUUCUGCUGGCCUUUUGGAGACCUCGCUCGCUUGGAGCCUCAGGCCCAGACUGGGAAGUUUCGCAGCGUUGUGUGCACCUGUUCCUACGUUGACUGAUCUACUUCCAGCACUUUAUGUUUUUCAUAACUGAAUUGUGGUCUGCCAUGAGACUGGACUACACACCUUCUUUCUGGAGGAGCACAUUCUAUCUGGAUCCAGAUCUCUAUGGCACUUCUGGCCCUUGACCAUCCCAACUUCAGGGCUGUGGACAAUUUCUGAUUUGAUGGAGAAUGGACGUGAAAGCACAGAGGAACAUCUGGAGAAAUUUCUGAAACGCUCGUCCGCAGCUGUCGUUACUGUGUGGUCGGGAAUCUUUUGGAGGGUAGGCCUCAAAAUCCCUGGCCUUGCCUGCUUUUGGCAACCGAGAAGGAGGUCGAAUCGUUCGGACA